GUAGGCUAUGGUGACAUGUACCCAGCAACAGUGUGGGGCAAGAUGGUGGGCUCUAUGUGCGCCAUUGCUGGUGUUCUUACCAUUUCGUUGCCUGUUCCUGUCAUUGUGUCCAAC
rfam:Oreochromis niloticus linkage group LG8-24, whole genome shotgun sequence.